GAAUGCCAAAUAUCUGUGCACUUUC
rnacentral:misc_RNA from 1 species